rnacentral:rRNA from 1 species
AGUGAACGCUGGCGGCAGGCCUAAUACAUGCAAGUCGAACGGCAGCACAGCAGAGCUUGCUCUGUGGGUGGCGAGUGGCGGACGGGUGAGGAAUACGUGGGAAUCUGCCCAGUCGUGGGGGAUAACGUAGGGAAACUUACGCUAAUACCGCAUGCGCCCUUCGGGGGAAAGCCGGGGGACCUUCGGGCCUGGCGCGAUUGGAUGAGCCCACGUCGGAUUAGCUAGUUGGCGGGGUAAAGGCCCACCAAGGCGACGAUCCGUAGCUGGUCUGAGAGGAUGAUCAGCCACACUGGAACUGAGACACGGUCCAGACUCCUACGGGAGGCAGCAGUAGGGAAUAUUGGACAAUGGGCGCAAGCCUGAUCCAGCCAUGCCGCGUGAGUGAAGAAGGCCCUCGGGUUGUAAAGCUCUUUUGUCCGGAAAGAAAAGCGCCGGGUUAAUACCCUGGUGUCCUGACGGUACCGGAAGAAUAAGCACCGGCUAACUUCGUGCCAGCAGCCGCGGUAAU